rnacentral:tRNA from 3 species
ACGGACUUAAAAUCCGUCGAUUUUAAAAAUCGUGAGGGUUCAAGUCCCUCUAUCCCCC